AUAAGAACCUGCUCAAACCACUGGAGAUAAAACUCACAAAACGUGGGAGACCGACUGCUUUAUAACUGGAUGCCCUGGAGUUUUAACCUUCAGCUUGCCCACACUGAGCCUCUAGCUUCAGUGCUCAACAUGCCAACAUGCUUGGAAAUUCUUCAAUACCAUGACCUCUAAAAGCCCAGCUAAUUUAGUGAAAAGAGAAACAAGGGUCCUGCAUACCAAUGAAACUGCUGACAUCAGCUGAUCUGAAUGACCCAACAAAAAGCUUACAUACACAAAGAAUGCAGUUUUCACAUCCUAAUCAUUUCAUUCUCCUUACCCUGACCAAUCAAUGAUCCCAAUUUGCCAGUCCCAUACCCUCCACAAUUUUCUUAAAAACCCCAGAUCAGUAUAUUCCUUGGGGAGAUGGAUUUUGGUGUUUUCUGCCAUCUCCUUGCUUGGCUGUCCUGUGAUCUUUAAACACUUUUUCUGCUGCAACCCUGCUGUCUCAGUGUACGGAUAUGUUACUGUGCAGAGGGCAUAUGAAGCUGUUGGUCCUAUAAUAUUAUGAUGGCAUUAGUGGCCUUAUAAGAAUUAGAAGAGAAGCCAGGCACAUUCGCACGCACCUGUAGUCCCAGCUACUCAGGAGGCUGAGGCAGGAGGAUUGCUUGAGCCCAGGAGUUUAAGGCUGCAGUGUGCUUUGAUCAUUUCUUUGAGUAGCCACUGUACUCUAGCCUGAGCAACAUAGCAAGAUCCCAUCUCUAUCAAAGCAGGAAUUGGAAGAGAGAGAGAGAUAUAAAUUUUUUCUCUGCCUAUGCACACUCAUAGGAAAAGUCAUGUGAGGACAUAGCAAGAAGGCAGCUACCUGAAAUCAAGGAAGAGAGUGCUCACAAGAAUCCAAUCAUGCUGGCAGCCUGAUCUUGACACUGUAGACUCAAGAACAGUAAAGAAAAUAAAUAUUUCUGUUAUUGAAGCCACUUGGUUUAUGGUGUUUUAUUA
rnacentral:lncRNA from 10 species